AUUGAACGCUGGCGGCAGGCCUAACACAUGCAAGUCGAGCGGAUGAGGGGAGCUUGCUCCUGGAUUCAGCGGCGGACGGGUGAGUAAUGCCUAGGAAUCUGCCUGGUAGUGGGGGAUAACGUCCGUAAACGGGCGCUAAUACCGCAUACGUCCUGAGGGAGAAAGUGGGGGAUCUUCGGACCUCACGCUAUCAGAUGAGCCUAGGUCGGAUUAGCUAGUUGGUGGGGUAAAGGCCUACCAAGGCGACGAUCCGUAACUGGUCUGAGAGGAUGAUCAGUCACACUGGAACUGAGACACGGUCCAGACUCCUACGGGAGGCAGCAGUGGGGAAUAUUGGACAAUGGGCGAAAGCCUGAUCCAGCCAUGCCGCGUGUGUGAAGAAGGUCUUCGGAUUGUAAAGCACUUUAAGUUGGGAGGAAGGGCAGUAAGUUAAUACCUUGCUGUUUUGACGUUACCAACAGAAUAAGCACCGGCUAACUUCGUG
rnacentral:rRNA from 1 species